AAACCAAACCCAACCAAGGUAACGGCACUUCCAUGAGAAAAGCAAGUUUGAGGCUUCAAGUGGAACAGCAUUCAUCCGGACACUGAGAAAAAUCCUUCAUGUCUUUGCUGACAGUGAAGACAAGUGUGACCAGCUGCAGGAGCUGUUAAAAGGCUGACAACAUUUUGGCGUCCAGACACCAAAUCAUGACCAAUCCUGGUGAAACGGCAUGUGACGUGGACACAACCAACAGCCUGAUUUACAGUUCAGGGCUAGGAAUAAACUCAUUUCUGCUAUUCCAGUGAAUAAAAGACAACAAACUAGUGGUCAGAUAGUGUUUUUUAGUGGCUGAUUUCUAGAGAUUA